rnacentral:rRNA from 1 species
CCUACGGGAGGCUGCAGUGAGGAAUAUUGGUCAAUGGGCGCGAGCCUGAACCAGCCAAGUAGCGUGAAGGAUGACUGCCCUACGGGUUGUAAACUUCUUUUAUAAAGGAAGAAAGUGAGGCACGUGUGCCUUGUUGUAUGUACGUUAUGAAUAAGGAUCGGCUAACUCCGUGCCAACAGCCGCGGUAAUACGGAGGAUCCGAGCGUUAUCCGGAUUUAUUGGGGUUAAAGGGAGCGUAGAUGGGGUGUUAAGUCAGUUGUGACAGUUUGCGGCUCAACCGUAAAAUUGCCUUUGAUACUGGCAGUCUUGAGUGCAGUUGAGGUAGGCGGCAUUCGUGGUGUAGCGGU